rnacentral:rRNA from 1 species
AAUGAACGUUGGCGGCAUGGAUUAGGCAUGCAAGUCGAGCGAGAAGGGUUUUGAAGCUUGCUUUAGAACUCGGACAGCGGCGAAAGGGAGAGUAACGCGUAGUUAUGUGCUCUAGGGUCCGGAAUAGCCACGGGAAACUGUGGGUAAUGCCGGAUAAUAUCCCCGGAUCAAAGGUGUGAUUCCGCCUUAGGAGCAGACUGCGUCCUACUAGCUAGUUGGUGGGGUAAUGGCCCACCAAGGCAAUGAUGGGUAGCGGGUGUGAGAGCAUGACCCGUCUCACUGGGACUGAGACACUGCCCAGACACCUACGGGUGGCUGCAGUCGAGAAUCUUCGGCAAUGGGCGAAAGCCUGACCGAGCGAUGCCGCGUGCGGGAUGAAGGCCCUCGGGUUGUAAACCGCUGUCGUAGGGGAGGAAGGUUCCGUGAAGAGCGGGACUUGACCUAUCCUAGGAGGAAGUACGGGCUAAGUUCGUGCCAGCCGCCGCUGUAAUAC